AAAACAGCCCUAGGAAUAACAUUCACUCUCUACCAGGUAUCCUGAGGGUUGUCUUAUAUGCUGCAGGAAGAAACCACUUCUAUUGCUACCAGGAGCAGAAAGAACAUUCAAAUUCUGUUUGCAGCUGGCUAUUUCCAAAUGAUGGAUCUAUCAGUGUUUACCUUAAAAUUAAAAGCUAUAACUGCCUGGAAUUUCACUGCUAGAUAUGAAAGCUCUGCAGUAAACCUACUGCCUUUGGGUAUGAUGUUUAAUAAGUUACAAAGGACUGUUUCACUGGCAUACUAUGGAGAGCCUGCCUACAUGCCAUGGCUCUUUGCCUGUGCCCCUCAGUUGCCUGCCUGUGCCCCACAGCUGCCUGCCUGCCUGCUGGGCACCCCACAGCCCUGUGGAAGGGAUAGGCAUGAAAGAGGUCAGGAAUGCCUCUUCUUCAGCCACAUUGCACACGGUGUCAUCUGAGCCUGGGUAUGAAAUACCCUCACCUGACUUUGAAGAAGCUUUUGAACUCUUUCACUCUAUCGGUGUUACU